UACGGGGGGAGCAAGCGUUGUUCGGAUUUACUGGGCGUAAAGGGCGCGUAGGCGGCCUCUGCAAGUCGACUGUGAAAUCUCCGGGCUUAACCCGGAAAGGUCAGCCGAUACUGCAGGGCUAGAGUGCAGAAGGGGCAACUGGAAUUCUCGGUGUAGCGGUGAAAUGCGUAGAUAUCGAGAGGAACACCUGCGGCGAAGGCGACUUUCUGGCCUGUUCUUGACGCUGAGGCGCGAAAGCUAGGGGAGCAAACGGG
rnacentral:rRNA from 1 species